CUUCCGUAAGGGGACCUGCGGAAGGAUCAUUACUGAAGUACUGCGGCCUCCGGGCCGCGGAACUCCCACCCACUGUUUACUAUACUUUGUUGCUUCGGCAGGCCGGGCCUUCGGGCCUACCGGCGCCCCCCGGGGCGCUGGCCAGCGCCUGCCAGAGGACCUGUAAAAUCUGUGUUAGUGUCGUCUGAGUACUAUCUAAUAGUUAAAACUUUCAACAACGGAUCUCUUGGUUCUGGCAUCGAUGAAGAACGCAGCGAAAUGCGAUAAGUAAUGUGAAUUGCAGAAUUCAGUGAAUCAUCGAAUCUUUGAACGCACAUUGCGCCCUCUGGUAUUCCGGAGGGCAUGCCUGUUCGAGCGUCAUUAUACCCCUCAAGCCUAGCUUGGUAUUGGGACGCGCCGCCCGCCCGGCGGCGCUCCUUAAAAUCAGUGGCGGCUCAGCUCAGCUUCAAGCGUAGUAAUUUUUUCGUCGCUCUGGAGCCUGGGUUGGUGCCUGCCAGAAGCCUAAUUUUUUCAGGUGACCUCGGAUCAGGUAUGGAACCCGGAAC
rnacentral:rRNA from 1 species